rnacentral:rRNA from 1 species
ACUAUGCUCAGCCGUAAACCUUAAUUUACACUAAAAUCGCCAGGAAACUAUGAGCCAUGCUUAAAAUCCAAAGGACUUGACGGCGCCUUAUACCCAACUAGAGGAGCCUGUCCUAUAAUCGAUAAUCCCCGUUCAACCUCACCCCUUCUAGCUUUUCAGCCUGUAUACCUCCGUCGUCAGCCCACCACGUGAGCGUCAUUCAGUAAGCUCCCCCGCUCUAUUCACAUAAACGUCAGGUCAAGGUGCAGCAAACGAAGGGGGAAGAGAUGGGCUACAUUCUCUACCCUAGAGCACACGAAUGACUGCAUAUGAAACCCAGUCUGAAGGCGGAUUUAGAAGUAAAGGGAAAUCAAAGAGUUCCCUUUAAGCUGGCACUGAGACGUGUACACACCGCCCGUCACCCUCCUCGAAGCCAAUUUACAGUAAUUAACAACUAACUGCACUAAAGAGGAGGCAAGUC